ACUGCUCAGUAACACGUGGACAACGUAUCCUCAGGACUGGCAUAAACCUGGGAAACUGGGUAUAAUGCCGGAUAGGUCUCGGAUGCUGGAAUGCUCCGAGCUCCAAAGCUCCGACGCCUGAGGAUGGGUCUGCGACCUAUCAGGGUAGUAGUGGGUGUAAAGUACAGCUAGCCUACGACGGGUACGGAUUGUGAGAGCAAGAGCCCGGAGAUGGAUUCUGAGACACGAAUGCAGGCCCUACGGAGUGCACCAGGCGCGAAAACUUUACAAUGCUGGAAACAGCGAUAGGGGGACCUUUAGUGCCAGGAUACAAUUCUGGCUGUCGUCGUCCUAAAAAGCACGGCAUAGCAAGGGCCGGGCAAGACCGGUGCCAGCCGCCUCGGUAACACCGGCGGCUCGAGUGGUAACCGCUAUUAUUGGGUGUAAAGGGUCGGUAGCCGGCUGAAAAAGUCUCUUGGGAAAUCCGGCAGCUCAACUGUCGGGCUUUCAGGAGAUACUGUCUGCCUCGAGUCCGGGAGAGGUGAGAGGUACUUCAGGGGUAGGGGCGAAAUCUUGUAAUCCUUGAAGGACCACCAGUGGCGAAGGCGUCUCCCCAGAACGGACCUGACGGCAAGGGACGAAAGCUAGGGGCACGAACCGGAUUAGAUACCCGGGUAGUCCUAGCCGUAACCGAUACUCGCUAGGUGUCGUCCGCGGUGCGACCGUGGUCGGUGCCGUAGGGAAGCCGUGAAGCGAGCCACCUGGGAAGUACGGCCGCAAGGCUGAAACUUAAAGGAAUUGGCGGGGGAGCA
rnacentral:rRNA from 1 species